rnacentral:rRNA from 1 species
UGGGGAAUAUUGCGCAAUGGGGGAAACCCUGACGCAGCGACGCCGCGUGUGGGAUGAAGGUCUUCGGAUUGUAAACCACUGUCGCGAGGGACGAAGCUCUGACGGUACCUCGAAAGGAAGCACCGGCUAACUCUGUGCCAGCAGCCGCGGUAAUACAGAGGGUGCGAGCGUUGUCCGGAAUCACUGGGCGUAAAGGGCGCGUAGGCGGCCCGGUAAGUAGGGGGUGAAAUCUCAUGGCUCAACUGUGAGGCUGCCUUCUAGACUGCCAGGCUUGAGCACAGUAGAGGCGAGUGGAAUUCCCGGUGUAGCGGUGGAAUGCGUAGAGAUCGGGAAGACAUCGGUGGCGAAGGCGGCUCGCUGGGCUGUUGCUGACGCUGAGGCGCGAAAGCGUGGGGAGCAAACAGGAUUAGAUACCCACGUAGUCCCUGAGCGGGCUGGCAAGGCGCAU